UACGUAGGCAGCGAGCGUUGUUCGGAAUUACUGGGCGUAAAGAGUGUGUAGGCGGUGCUCUAAGUUCGGUGUGAAAUCUCCCGGCUUAACUGGGAGGGGGCCUCGAAAACUGCCAGGCUUGAGGCAUGGAGAGGGAUGCGGAAUUCCCGGUGUAGUGGUGAAAUGCGUAGAUAUCGGGAGGAACACCAGUGGCGAAGGCGGCAUCCUGGCCAUGUCCUGACGCUCAGGGGGCGAAAAGCGUGGGGGAGCAAACCGGG
rnacentral:rRNA from 1 species